GUGGGGAAUAUUGGACAAUGGGGGGAACCCUGAUCCAGCCAUGCCGCGUGUGUGAAGAAGGCCUUUUGGUUGUAAAGCACUUUAAGCGAGGAGGAGGCUACCGAGAUUAAUACUCUUGGAUAGUGGACGUGACUCGCAGAAUAAGCACCGGCUAACUCUGUGCCAGCAGCCGCGGUAAUACAGAGGGUGCAAGCGUUAAUCGGAUUUACUGGGCGUAAAGCGCGCGUAGGUGGCCGAUUAAGUCAAAUGUGAAAUCCCCGAGCUUAACUUGGGAAUUGCAUUCGAUACUGGUUGUCUAGAGUAUGGGAGAGGAUGGUAGAAUUCCAGGUGUAGCGGUGAAAUGCGUAGAGAUCUGGAGGAAUACCGAUGGCGAAGGUAGCCAUCUGGCCUAAUACUGACACUGAGGUGCGAAAGCAUGGGGAGCAAACAGGAUUAGAAACCCCAGUAGUCC
rnacentral:rRNA from 1 species